rnacentral:rRNA from 1 species
GACGAACGCUGGCGGCGUGCCUAAUACAUGCAAGUUGAGCGCUGAAGGUUGGUACUUGUACCAACUGGAUGAGCAGCGAACGGGUGAGUAACGCGUGGGGAAUCUGCCUUUGAGCGGGGGACAACAUUUGGAAACGAAUGCUAAUACCGCAUAAAAACUUUAAACACAAGUUUUAAGUUUGAAAGAUGCAAUUGCAUCACUCAAAGAUGAUCCCGCGUUGUAUUAGCUAGUUGGUGAGGUAAAGGCUCACCAAGGCGAUGAUACAUAGCCGACCUGAGAGGGUUAUCGGCCACAUUUGGAAUGAGACACGGCCCAAACUCCUACGGGAGGCAGCAGUAGGGAAUCUUCGGCAAUGGACGAAAGUCUGACCGAGCAACGCCGCGUGAGUGAAGAAGGUUUUCGGAUCGUAAAACUCUGUUGGUAGAGAAGAACGUUAGUGAGAGUGGAAAGCUCAUCAAGUGACGGUAACUACCCAGAAAGGGACGGCUAACUACGUG